AGAGUUUGAUCAUGGCUCAGAUUGAACGCUGGCGGCAUGCCUUACACAUGCAAGUCGAACGGCAGCACGGGGGCAACCCUUGGUGGCGAGUGGCGAACGGGUGAGUAAUACAUCGGAAACGUGUCCUGGAGUGGGGGAUAGCCCGGCGAAAGCCGGAUUAAUACCGCAUACGAUCUUGGGAUGAAAGCGGGGGACCGAAAGGCCUCGCGCUCAAGGGGCGGCCGAUGGCAGAUUAGCUAGUUGGUGGGGUAAAGGCCUACCCAGGCGACGAUCUGUAGCUGGUCUGAGAGGACGACCAGCCACACUGGGACUGAGACACGGCCCAGACUCCUACGGGAGGCAGCAGUGGGGAAUUUUGGACAAUGGGGGCAACCCUGAUCCAGCAAUGCCGCGUGUGUGAAGAAGGCCUUCGGGUUGUAAAGCACUUUUGUCCGGAAAGAAAACCUCCGUCCUAAUACGGUGGGGGGAUGACGGUACCGGAAGAAUAAGCACCGGCUAACUACGUGCCAGCAGCCGCGGUAAUACGUAGGGUGCAAGCGUUAAUCGGAAUUACUGGGCGUAAAGCGUGCGCAGGCGGUUCGCUAAGACCGAUGUGAAAUCCCCGGGCUUAACCUGGGAACUGCAUUGGUGACUGGCGGGCUAGAGUAUGGCAGAGGGGGGUAGAAUUCCACGUGUAGCAGUGAAAUGCGUAGAGAUGUGGAGGAAUACCGAUGGCGAAGGCAGCCCCCUGGGCCAAUACUGACGCUCAUGCACGAAAGCGUGGGGAGCAAACAGGAUUAGAUACCCCCGUAGUCC
rnacentral:rRNA from 1 species